UUUAUGGUUACUGUUGAAUAUGUCUCAGGUGCACUGGGAUAAUAACUCAGGAUGGAAGUUUGACUCCAACCGAGGUCACUCUGUCCACAUGAACCAUGCACGGCUACUUAACCAUAUCAGAGCCGCCGUCUGAAACAAUACCUCAACAGAGCACGCUGAACAGUACAACCUGCUGCAGUAUCAGCAUGAAGACGAAGAAUUCUGAGCUGGACCUAAUUUAUAAGAGAGGAUGGAUAACUCCUGCAGGUUUCUGUCCUCUUUAUCAACACAGAGCACAUUUCAUGAUUAUGCAACACCGUGAGAGGAGGAGACGGACGGUUGUUGCCACACAGGCGUCUGUCUCAACCUGCACAGCUGUGCUCCCAGGCAGUGUCGGAUCAUCAGGAACAAACUGCUGAACAGAGUUAGAGCUUCAUCACACACUAACAGGAGGACGCAGGUGAAGGGAAGGAGCCUGUUCAAACAUGAGAGUGAUGAGCAUGGUGGAAAAAGCUCAUCAGCUGUCUCUGCAUGAAACAAGACUGUCCUCAUAGGAGUCAAGAUACAGAUGUUAGACAUGAGAGAUAAAACUACACACACACACACACAGACAGUAAGAGAGUGUGUGACCAGAGCCUCCGCUCACACCUCUGCCUCUCUAUGUGGACCGAACACACAUCUCCCUCUCUCUAAUCAUGGGUCUGCUGCUGCUGCCAGGUCAUGUGGGGUUUGGUCACCACUGCAGAGAGAGAGAGGGAUUACCUGUCAGGCUGAAAUAUCAUUACAGUGAACACUAUACUGCAGAGAGGGUUGGGAGAGACAGCAGAGUGUCUCAGAGAGCGUGUUCUGAAGAGAGAUAAAGAUCCUGAGGUCCUUGUGUUCUUGAAA